GCCUUGGGUUUGCUCCAGGCACAGGUCUAAACUGGAAGAAACCUGUGCCACUGGCUGGGCAGGGCUUUCUGCAUCUCUGGAUCCUGGAGACCAAAUUACUCCAGGUUUGGGGGCAGAUAUUGUGGCCUCUCCUGUGAUCCUGGGCAUUUGGGAGCACUUGGGCAUAGGAAACCCACUGUUAUAGGAGUAGAUGUAGAGCCCCAGGUCUGCUCAGGGUUACAGAUUCAAAUUGGAAGGAACUCGUGCCACUUGCUGGGUGGGGAUUCCUGUGUCCCUGGAUUCCCAGGGGUCCCAGUUACUCUUGGUGUUUGGGUAGAUAUUUUGGCCUCCUCACCUGUGAUCCUGGGCAUGUUAGAGC
rnacentral:lncRNA from 1 species